rnacentral:misc_RNA from 1 species
GAUGAAGAACGCAGCGAAAUGCGAUACGUAAUGUGAAUUGCAGAAUUCAGUGAAUCAUCGAAUCUUUGAACGCAUAUUGCGCUCUCUGGUAUUCCGGAGAGCAUGCUUGUUUGAGUAUCAGUAAACACCUCAACUUCCAUAUCUUUUUUGAAAUGGGAGUUGGACUUGAGUGAUCCCAACGCUUUUCCUCACCGAAAAGUGGCGGGUUACUUGAAAUGCAGGUGCAGCUGGACUUUUCUCUGAGCUAUAAGCAUAUCUAUUUAGUCUGCCUAAAAAACAGAUUAUUACCUUUGCUGCAGCUAACAUAAAGGAGAUUAGUUCUUGUGCCGACUGAUGCAGGAUUCACAAAGACAGGCUUCGGCCGACUUUGUAAACUCGAUCUCAAAUCAAGUAAGACUACCCGCUGAACUUAAGCAUAUCAAUAAGCGGAGGA